rnacentral:rRNA from 1 species
CCUACGGGUGGCAGCAGUGAGGAAUAUUGGUCAAUGGACGAGAGUCUGAACCAGCCAAGUAGCGUGAAGGAUGACUGCCCUAUGGGUUGUAAACUUCUUUUAUAUGGGAAUAAAACGUUCCACGUGUGGGAUUUUGUAUGUACCAUAUGAAUAAGGAUCGGCUAACUCCGUGCCAGCAGCCGCGGUAAUACGGAGUAUCCGAGCGUUAUCCGGAUUUAUUGGGUUUAAAGGGAGAGUAGGUGGAUUGUUAAGUCAGUUGUGAAAGUUUGCGGCUCAACCGUAAAAUUGCAUUUGAAACUGGCAGUCUUGAGUACAGUAGAGGUGGGCGGAAUUCGUGGUGUAGCGGUGAAAUGCUUAGAUAUCACGAAGAACUCCGAUUGCGAAGGCAGUUCACUGGACUGCAACUGACACUGAGGCUCGAAAGUGUGGGUAUCAAACAGGAUUAGAUACCCGAGUAGUC